rnacentral:rRNA from 1 species
GACAGAGGUGCCAAGCGUUAGGCGGAAUCACUGGGCUUAAAGCGUGUGUAGGUGGAUGUCUAAGUACCUUGUGAAAUCCCAUGGCUCAACCAUGGAACUGCUCGGUAUACUGGAUGUCUUGAGCCACUUAGGGGCUACCGGAACAAAUGGUGGAGCGGUGAAAUGCGUAGAUAUCAUUUGGAACGCCAAUGGUGAAAACAGGUAGCUGGGAGUGUGCUGACACUGAGACACGAAAGCCAGGGGAGCAAACGGG